GAGCUCGUCCUGAACGCACAGCCAGGAGGACUGCUGAGCAUCGCUGCGCUCUGAUUGGCUGUGAAACGUGUGCAGCUGCAGAGCCUGAGGAUGCCCCCCGGCCCACAGUCUGAUCUGGAGUUUGAUACGAGGAAAAACACAAAAAUACUUUCAGUUUAUGAUUAAAUACAUGACUGAC